AUUGAACGCUGGCGGCAGGCCUAACACAUGCAAGUCGAGCGAGCGGCGGACGGGUGAGUAAUGUAUGGGGACUGCCCGAUAGAGGGGGAUAACUACUGGAACCGGUGGCUAAUACCGCAUACUAUCGGAUAACCCAUAUGGGAUUAGCUAGUAGGUGGGGUAAAGGCGCACCUAGGCGACGGUCUCUAGCUGGUCGUAGAGGAUGAUCAGCCACACUGGGAAUGAGCCACGGCCCAGACUCCUACGGAGGCAGCAGUGGGGAAUAUUGCACAAUGGGCGCAAGCCUGAUGCAGCCAGGCCGCGUGAAUGAAGAAGGCCUUAGGGUUGUAAAGUACUUUCAUCGGGGAGGCGUGACCCGCAGAAGAAGCAACGGCUAACUCCGUGCCAGCAGCCGCGGUAAUAC
rnacentral:rRNA from 1 species